CCUUAACCUGCUAAAUAGUCCCUAUGGCUUUGGCUGUAGGCUGACUUCUUAGAGGGACUAUCAGCGUUUAGCUGAUGGAAGUUUGAGGCAAUAACAGGUCUGUGAUGCCCUUAGAUGUUCUGGGCCGCACGCGCGCUACACUGACAGAGCCAGCGAGUUCUCUCCUUAGCCGGAAGGCUUGGGUAAUCUUGUGAAACUCUGUCGUGAUGGGGAUAGAACAUUGCAAUUAUUGUUCUUCAACGAGGAAUACCUAGUAAGCGUGAUUCAUCAGAUCGCGUUGAUUACGUCCCUGCCCUUUGUACACACCGCCCGUCGCUACUACCGAUUGAAUGGCUUAGUGAGGCCUCCGGAUCGGCUAUCACAAUCCCGCGAGGGAAUGAGACUGCUGAAAAGUUGUACAAACUUGGUCAUUUAGAGGAAGUAAAAGUCG
rnacentral:rRNA from 1 species